rnacentral:lncRNA from 1 species
AGACUUCCUCUUUGACUCAUGUUUUCGGAUAUGUUGUUUAGUUUCCAAGCGGUUGGAGGUUUUCCUGUUAUCUUUUUGCUAUUGAUAUCUAGUUUGAUUCCCAUGCGGUCAGAGACCACACUUUGUAUAAUUUUAAUUACUUAAAAUUUGCUGUAGUUUGUUUUAUUGCUCAGGAUGUGGCCUAUCUCAGUAUAUGUUCUUGGGUCCUUGAGAAGAGUACAUAUUCUGCUGUUGGUGGUGAAGUAUUCUAUAAAUAUCAAUUAGAGCUUAUGAAUUAAUGGUAUUUUUGAGUUCUUCUAUAGCCUUGCUGAUUUCCUAUCUCAUUGUUCUAUCAAUUACUGAGAGAAGGGUACUGAAAUUUUCACCUAUAACUAUGGACUUAUUUCUCUUUGUGGUUUUACCAGUUUUUAUUUUUCAUAUUUUGUUGCUCUGUUAUUUGGCAUAUAUGCAUUUAGAAUUGCUAUAUCUUCUUGGUGAAUUAAUCUUUCAGCAUUAUGCAGUGUCCCUCUAUGUGCCUGGUAAUUUCAUUUGCUUCAGUUAGCUUCCUUUGACAUUGCUCCUGUAGGUGAAGUGCAUACAUCACCUCAUUACUGCUAGACGUGUUAUGGGUUUUCCUUCUUAGCCUCUGUUGACUCCUGAAAAGGGAAGGAGCUCCUCAUCACUGCUAGGUAUGGAUGAGAAUUUAGCUUUCCCCACUAGCAUCAUCUGAUACCACUUGGCUGGUAGAGACAGGAGUUGCGUACUAUUGCUUCCUCAUGUGAUACCAGAGGGUGGGGUCUUAUCAUUGUUGGGCAGUGGUGAAAGUGCUAAUGUUCCACUAGGCUUCCUCUGACAACACCCCAAUGUUGGAGGGCACUCUUUAUAUCCUGGUGAUGAAGCAAUAAGGAAAAGCAUGUCUACUCCAUAUCCUCAGAAGUGGAAGUCUCCCCUUAUUGACAAUCUUGACCAAACUCCUACCUCUCUCUAUAAGCAUUCUCAUUUUAAGAAGGUACUUUGAAAUCAGCUCCAUUAACUUUACUAUUUGAGUAUAAAAUGACCUCUUUUUACAUAUUCUUGAAUGUAAAAGAUGUGAAUCACCUUAACUGCAAUCAAGUUUAGCCUGUUCUCUUUGGAAAGACAAUUGCCCCAAUCCCAUGCAAAUAUAGCCUCUUCUGACCUAAUGAUAAUAUAAAAAAUUCAGCCAGUUUGUAAGACAUGCACAGUAUCAACUGGCCUUUCAGGCAAUGGUUUUUCAGGAUGAAAUAAAAGAAAAACAAGAAGGAUUUUGUUCAUGAAACUUCUAACAUUGACCACAACAAUGACCUUCAUAAAAGGUAAGGUGCACCUAACAAAAAUUCUCUAGUAACAAAAGUUCUGGCUUGUUCAUUUAGGCAGCAUAAAAGUUCUAGUAUUUUUUAGGACAUCAUUUAAACUGCAGAUAUUUAAUAUUUUUCUAUACAUUUGGACCAAUUUUAAUAGCAUGAAAUAUAUCUUUAUUUGAUAACAAAAAGCAAUCCUGACCACAACCAGAAAUAAACUAGACCACUUUCAUGAUUUUUUCUUUUAAAAGUACUUUUCUAACUCUAUAAUUUUUUGAUGGUAGCAGAGUACAGAGUUUUAGGAAAUAUAUCUGGGGACAUACGUGAAACUGAAAGAAAUCUGUUUUUAAAUUUUGAAAGAACAAUUACUAUUUUAUUAUAAGAAAAGAUAGCUUGAUUCUUCACAAAUACCUAAUGACUUUGCAGCAAAACUGAAAAGGCUCUGAUAAAUGAAUUGUGGUUUGAUUUGAUUCUGAGUCUCAAUUGUUAACUUGAACUGGGUCUGUACCCAGUUCAAUAUUGUGCUUUGGAAUGACAGUGUGGCCCUGAUAGAAGGAAAGGAGGAAGUAAGGAGAAAAAGAAGAAGAAAGGAAGGAAGGUUAGUUCAAAUCUUUCAAAUAAUCAUAACUUAUGGGGAAAGGCCAUUAUUUUUCAUGCAUAUACCUCAUUGGCUUUGACUUAAGAAAUAGGUGAAAUAAAUUUUAAAAACUGGACUUUUUUUUUUUUGCCUUCUCAGUUUUCAUUCCCAUUCAUGUGGUUAUAGCAUUGCAGUUUCACUUUGGAGAUGUAUGCUUCCUAAGGGGUCAAGUGGUGACCCCAAGCUGGGUCAAUCACUCACUUCUAAUACAGAACAUUAAAAACUUUAAUAAGAUACAACAAAGCAACAAUAUUCAUUUUCACCUAAAAUUUUGUUCACUAGCCUCAUUCAACUACAAUAUAAAGUCUAAAAUUAUCUUGAAUAAAACCCAUCUGAACCUCUAGGUUGAGUGAUGUCCACGGUUAUUCAGAGCAUUUACCAGUAUUUACCUAAAAAUAUCCAGGUGCCUAUGUGACCAUGAUUUCAAUUCCAUGUUGAUUCUAGUAUCCAUAAGGAUGUUUACUACUUGAAAAAUAUCUUUAUCCUUGAAAAAUUCAACCAGAGUGUACAAGACAAGCGUCCUCUGAAAAAAUUAAGGUAAUCGGUCUGCCUUAAAUGGUACAAGCUGGAAUUCCACAGACAAACCACUGUCAUAACUCUCUCCACUGGAUCAUCUAAACAGGUAGCCUGUUCAUAAGACUUGCGUAUAAUUUGCACUAUGUUGCAGGGGAAUGUUUGUGGUCUCCUGUAGACUAUUUUAUAACAUUUUUCAUUAAAAAAAAACUUCUAAGAAAUCACAUUCACUGUAGGUAUUACUUGAAGGUACCAGAAGGCAUCAGCUUUUGGUUAGAGGGAAAUAUUUCUGUAGAAGGAGAGCAAGGAAUAGAAAAAUAUGCAACAUCUAGUGGAUUAAAGGCACAUUCUACAGUUCAUACUAAAAACUGGAUUACUUCAAUUGACAAUCAGAAUCAGGGUGCACAUUGGAGCUGAAAAUUACUGAAAUGUUUAUGAUUUUAUUUUAGAACUAAGGUGACCGAAUAUGGAGAUGUAAAAAGUUGAGUUGAAAGGAAAUACACUCAGUUAAUGGGUAAGUAAUUCCACACGCAGUAUUUGCCGUGAUGAAUUCAUGCCACCGCAGCCGGGGGAUUUAAAGCAAUACCCAGCAUUUAGAGAAAUAUGCCUUUGAGUGGGAGACUCUAAUGCAUAGAAACCCAUAAAAGUGAUGGCUUAUAACCUACUUUUGCUUUCAUUGUUGUACCACCAAUUGGCAUUUAUCCUUCAUGUCAAGUGGAACAGUCAUCUUAAUUGCCUUUUUUUUUUUUUGGUCAUCAGGGCGAACAUUUUCAUCUGAAAUGUCACUUCAAGUGAAAAACUUAAUUUGUGACAUCUCUCAAUACAAAUAUAUUUCUAAAUAGCUAUCAGUUUCCUAUAUAAUGUAAGAGGAAUAGAAAAAAUAAAUUUUCUAUAGAUCUCCAGAAUAAAGUAUGAAAUGAGAUACAGUCC